rnacentral:tRNA from 1 species
GGCCUGAUGGUCUAGCGGUAUGAUUCUUGCUUCGGGAGUGACAUCUCAGUCUUAGAAAGAGACUAUAGUUUGCGAGAGGUCCCGGGUUCAAUCCCCGGUCAGGCCC